GGCCUGCUGAGGACAGAUCAUGUGAAUGUGACAGUCUAAAAAUCCCGGUGUUAAGAUACAUCCCUCUCCAGAGGAUACUUCAGUAGAAGCACUGACAACCAGAUUUUCAUCAACAUUGUCCAUCACACCCGGAUUACCUGCUUUACCUACUCCUGCAACUUUACCAUUGCGGAAACCAACGUCACCCUUUACAAUACCCAAUACGGGAUCCAUCACUACUACGUUGGUAAUUACAUGAUCCAAAGCGCCAUCUGCUUGUGUUGCUCCCGGGCUCAUACC
rnacentral:sRNA from 1 species